CUUGAGUUUGAUACAUGUGGUCUAAGCUAACAUGUCAUACUACUCGUAAAGUAUAUAUAUUUUUUAAAUAAAACAUUUUAGUAUUUCUUUCAAAAAAAAAUCCCCAUGCAUGUUUAACUGAUAAUAUGCAUGAGAUGAAUCCACUAAAAUUGUACUGCAAUGAUUCCUGUCAAGUCUCAUCCACCAACCCGUUAUAAUAUAUUUGUUCACUGCAUCAUACGAUGAGAUCCAGCUCUCUAACCACCUCUGUGGGUUCUCAUUUUUACAACUAUAAUGUUCAAAGGUCAUUUUAAAAUUUGGAUUGACACUGAGGUAUUAAUUGAACAACUUGUUCGUCAUUGUGGUUGUAGCUCGGCAUUGAUGUAGCGUAGUGCUGCGCUAUGGUGAGUGUUUUCUCGUAUUUCGUUUUCCCCCAAUUCUCCGUAACAUGCAUUGAUGAAUACGUUGAUAAAUGAAUACCUCACUGACAUUGCCGGUCAAAAUGGAUUCCAUCUUCAGCACAAGUAUUUCACAUGGUGCAUCCACAGCAAGGUCAGACUCCUCGCACGGGCAUGGAAAAUGGCGAUGAAUGUUUGCGCUCGCUGCCUCGGCGCUUUAGCAGCACACGCCGUGAUGUUUUGAAUAUCAUGGAGUUGUUUUGCUUUAAGUGUAAAGCAAUUAUGACAAUAGUUAUUAGUAUGGCAGGAACUCAAAAGUCUCUUAACUACCACACCCAAUGCUGUGAUUUGUACAUUAGGUCAUAGAUGGGUUACUAUCGCCGGAGAUGGAGAUGCAUUGUUGCACGCAAACGUGUAUCUGCAAUACAUCUUGUUACUGGAAUUUUACUGGGUUCCGCAUCUUGUGGCUUAUCUGGGUUGCGGCGGCGGUGGUGGCAACGGACAAAAUAUGGUCAUUGUGGCCUUGAGGGUUGGGCUGAAUGAUUUAUUGUUUUGUUUUUUUUCUUUUUUUUUUUUUUUUCAAAACACGAUCACAUGAUCAUCUUUUUUAAAAAAUGUUAUUUAUUUAUUUUUAAAGCAGCACUCCUGACUGACCCUGAACUUGUUGUAUCACAUGUCUCCUACACAAACGCCAUCUCACUCCUCUCCUGCCAAACUGACCAAUCAGAAGGGACAUGCUACUUGCGAGCACAAGAGGCUAAUGCUAGUCGCUAAGCUAAUGUUAUUUUUUUUGGGGGGGCUCAGCUGUACUGUCCACUUUUCACAAGAAGUCUGGCAACCAUUCCAGCCACUGACGCAUCAAGUAAAACAGAAUUAACCAUUGUAUAUUUAAUAAACAGCAAAAUGUUCCAAUUUAAUUUCGUCAAGUCUGCUAGCUUCAUGCGAAAGAUAUUAUGUGAAACACCAUUGACAGAUCAUGAAACGUCGCGCAGAUGUUACCGAGAUUAUGUUUACACAGGGAAGGCAGCUUUAUUGAUCUCGCGCUGAAUUCUGAUUUGUCAAAGUUUUUUUUUUUUUUUUUUAACCUAACGUCGAGCUCUUCGUGGAAACUUACAAUUCCAUAAGCAGUCGAUUAAAAAUCAAGGAACGGGGAACACUGUAGAAAGUGGAAAUUCAGCCUUUUCAAAAGUAAUAUAAUGACACUUGGAAUGUUAAUCAACAGUAAAUAUUUUGGAGUCCUGGUCUUUCAUAACUACCUUUGAAAGCAAACCGCUAUGGCAUUUCUACUUCCUCUUUCAGGCCUUCACUUAUAAGGUCGCCCAUUUAAAGAGGCGUUGGCCUCACGGGGCGAGAUGACAAUCAUUUCUGAAACGGUACUGUCAGCGACUGCAGCACAGAACGAUGAUGUAUUUUGCUGUCAGGUGUGUUGUGGUAUUUGGAGGAGGGGCGCUGGACCGCUGCCACUCAACCACCACCACCGCCACCUACCCACCCGCAAACCCGCACCCCAACGGGGCUUGAGUGACAAGUCAAACCAGCCCAGUCGGUCUAUGCUCAAAUGCACCUCUGCACGUUUUUUUUUUUUUUUUUAUCAAGUCCAGCUGUAUUUACCUGUAAGCGCCGUUGUACUGUAUCAAGCAUUUUCUGAAUCGUCGUAUUUUUUUUUCCCCUGCACCGACAACUGAGCCGCCAAAGUGACACAAGGCGAUCUUAAGAAUGAAAUUCCUAUGCCUCUGCAUGCAUUGUUCCCCACGGUGGCUAUUUAAGUUCUUCUAAAGAAGAGUCAUGAAUAAAAAAUGCCACUAUUGCUAUUCUAUGACACGACUACUACUAUUUCAUAUUUUGGCUCUUGACAACACGAGGGCAUUAUUGCGCUAUCCAGUCAUGUAGCUGGGCAUCUGUUGUCAUCGAGAGUCAUCAUCGGCCGCGCUCACCAGCCCUCGAAUAAACAUCAUGGUCGGUUGGCGAUGGCGCCCAGCUAUGGAGUUGAUCGUUCUGACAAAGCCAAUAUGUGCUCUAUUUGUGUUGGCAAUUUUGCAAAGUCCAUCAGCACAAUCAGAAAACAUGUACACACAAAAAAAAAAAAAAAAAACGAUAAUGGUAGUGUUUAUAUAAUUCCUUGUAACCUCCUGUUGCACGCCACCUAUAUUCGAUUAUAUUUUCUGAGAAUGCGUUAUGUGGAAUACACAUCAUUAGUUAGUUCUGAAAAUAGCACCCUAUAAUAUUGUAUUCGAUAAAAACAUACAGUAAUAACAUUAAGUAAAAUGGAA